rnacentral:lncRNA from 1 species
CAUCGAGGCACCAGAAGAAGGUCGCGGAACCAUGUGUGGGCCAUCAGAAGGAGAUCGUGGAACCACAGGUGGGGCAUCAGGAGAAGGUCGCAUAACCACACGUCGAACAUAUCGCGGAACCACAAGUGGCACAUCCAUCGAGGUACUAGAAGGUCGCCGAACCACACGUCGAACAUGUCGCGGAAUCACAAGUGGCACAUCCAUCGAGGCACCAGAAGAAGGUCGCGGAACCAUGUGUAGGCCAUCAGAAGGAGAUCGUGGAACCACAGGUAGGGCAUCAGGAGAAGGUCGCAUAACCACACGUCGAACAUAUCGCGGAACCACAAGUGGCACAUCCAUCGAGGUACUAGAAGGUCGCCGAACCACACGUCGAACAUGUUGCGGAAUCACAAGUGGCACAUCCAUCGAGGCACCAGAAGAAGGUCGCAGAACCCCAGGUGGGCCAUCAGAAGGAGGUCGCAAAACCACAAGUGGGACAU